rnacentral:rRNA from 1 species
UAAGCGGAGGAAAAGAAACUAACAAGGAUUCCCCUAGUAACGGCGAGUGAAGUGGGAAAAGCUCAACUUUGUAAUCUGGCUCUUUCAGAGUCCGAGUUGUAGUCUAAAGAGGUCUUGCCUGGUUCGCACUUUGGAUAUGGUUGUUGGAAUGCAACGUCAAAGAGGGUGACAAUCCCGUCUGUGCCAAAUGUGUUGGAUCGUUGUGCAUGGCUUUCUAAGAGUCGAGUUGUUUGGGAAUGCAGCUCAAAUCGGGUGGUAAAUUCCAUCUAAAGCUAAAUAUUGGCGAGAGACCGAUAGCGAACAAGUACCGUGAGGGAAAGAUGAAAAGCACUUUGGAAAGAGAAUGAAACAGUAUGUGAAAUUGCUGGAAGGGAAACGAUUGAAGUUAGACUUGCGUUUGCGGUAUUCAACCUGUCUUUGACUGGUGUAUUUGCCGCUUGUGCAGGCCAGCAUCAGUUUUCGAGCGUGGAUAAGGGUAGAAGGAAUGUGGCAACUUCGGUUGUGUUAUAGCCUUUUGCUGGAUGCACGCUUGAAGACUGAGGACCGCGCUUUUGCUAGGAUGCUGGUAGAAUAGCUUUACCGACCCGUCUUGAAACACG